GAUGAACGCUGGCGGCGUGCCUAAUACAUGCAAGUCGAGCGAACAGACGAGGAGCUUGCUCCUCUGACGUUAGCGGCGGACGGGUGAGUAACACGUGGAUAACCUACCUAUAAGACUGGGAUAACUUCGGGAAACCGGAGCUAAUACCGGAUAAUAUAUUGAACCGCAUGGUUCAAUAGUGAAAGACGGUUUUGCUGUCACUUAUAGAUGGAUCCGCGCCGCAUUAGCUAGUUGGUAAGGUAACGGCUUACCAAGGCGACGAUGCGUAGCCGACCUGAGAGGGUGAUCGGCCACACGGGACCUGAGACACGGUCCAGACUCCUACGGGAGGCAGCAGUAGGGAAUCUUCCGCAAUGGGCGAAAGCCUGACGGGGCAACGCCGCGUGAGUGAUGAAGGUCUUCGGAUCGUAAAACUCUGUUAUUAGGGAAGAACAAAUGUGUAAGUAACUAUGCACGUCUUGACGGUACCUAAUCAGAAAGCCACGGCUAACUACGUG
rnacentral:rRNA from 1 species